AAAAAAAAAGAAAGAAAGAAACAGAGACAACUGCCUAAAGAGCAAGGAGAAACUAGUUCCCACCCUCUUGAGUUCUAGCCACUGCUUCCCUCUCAGUCUUCACCUCAGUGGCCUGUCAUGGCUUACAAGGACAGCUUCACAAACAGAAAGAUUUUUCUUUUUAAACUAUAUAAAGGACCCAAAUUAACUUUAGAAACUCAAAUUCUUUUCAGAUGGAGAAUUCAUUACCUCUAAGAAAUGUGCAUUUAAAACUUGUUAACAAGUCUUCUCAGAAGCUCAAGUUUGUCUUUUACUAUUUUCCACAAGGAAAUUAAAUAGCCACUCACAAAAGUCCAAUGAGGAAAGGAAGAUGCAUAACCAAGAGGAAAGAUUUUAUUUUUUAAUUGCCACUAUUAAAUCUUAAAAGCAAAAAAAAAAUUUGUUCAUCCCCCCCAAGUUAUUAUGUAAAAAUGGCUAGAUAAAUGAGGAUUGUAAUCCCUAGAAUUACAGAGAAACAAAAAGAGAAUGGGAGUGAUUUCUUUCAAGCAAUCUGUUUUUCCUAUCAUACCACGCCACUGAAAUAUGUGAUAGAAGGAAACGCUAAAUUCUGGAUUGAUCUCAAGUUGCCAUUGUCUGCAGUCAAAAAAUAAGAAAGGAAGAAAUGAAGAGACAAGGAGAAGAGAGAAGGGAAAGAAGGAAAGUAAGAAGGAAGGAAAGGAAGGAAAUUGGAGGUAAGACAUUCGGUAUAUUUGCUUUCUGAAGCAAAUAAUAGAAAAUGCAUAAGAGAUUAGCCACCCCCUCCCCCCAGGGUUGAUGUAUCAAGGUCCAGAAGAAAGUUUCCACCUUCCCACUCUUCUUGGCAUGUAGACUUUUAUCCUCGAGGUAAUGUGGUGACCAAGCACCUGUAGAAAUCACAUUCACAUUUGAGACAAAAAUAAGGCAAAUAGCCCCAAAGCCUUCUUGAGGGGCUUUGUCUUUUUAUUCGUAAAAGGAAACCAAUCUUAGAAUAUUUCCCAUUAUAUCUCAUUGGCAGAAUGGUACCUGGUGACCACCACUGGGUGAGACAGAUCUAGGGAACUGCAGAUUUCCAUUUCUGAGUUAGAGAAAAGCAAGGAAAAUGAUUGAGAAUGGGUGUAGAUUCAGCCAACCCAAGUCAGCAAAAUGAACUACAACAAAUG
rnacentral:lncRNA from 1 species